UCCCUUUUAGGGGUUCACCGAUAUGAGCUGGUGUGUCCACGGAGGAUUGCUCCUCCGGGGGCCAAUCGUCGAUUAGCCAUGCAUCACCUGUGUAGGGCCCUUACGGACACCGUAUUUCUACGGCUUUUCCCUACAUGUCAAGCCCAGGUAAGGUUCUUCGCGUUGCAUCGAAUUGAGCCACAUGCUCCGCCGCUUGUGCGGGUCCCCGUCAAUUCCUUUGAGUUUUAGCCUUGCGGCCGUACUCCCCAGGCGGGGUGCUUAAUGCGUUAGCUCCGGCACGGAAUCCGUCGAUAGGACCCCACACCUAGCACCCAACGUUUACGGCUGGGACUAC
rnacentral:misc_RNA from 1 species